rnacentral:misc_RNA from 1 species
CUGGGAACGAGUCUGUUAAAUUUGGCCCUCCAACAACAGCACCAAUUAAUCGAUUUGGGUUUGGGUUUGGUGAAAAAAAGUAUCGAGAUCCCUCUUUGCAACCAAUACGUGCUGAAUGUGUGGCCACAGAUGGCACAGAGCUACCCCUAUGGUGAAUCCUUUGUGGGUAAUGUGGACCAUACCCUACCAUAUAUGACAUUCUUUGAGGAUUAUCUCCCAGAAUAUAAUCCACCUGACGUUUGGCAAUGUGUUUGAG